rnacentral:rRNA from 1 species
UACGAAGGGGGCUAGCGUUGCUCGGAAUUACUGGGCGUAAAGGGCGCGUAGGCGGCCCUGUUUGUCCGGCGUGAAAUCCCCGGGCUUAACCUGGGAACUGCAUUUGUGACUGCAUGGCUGGAGUGCGGCAGAGGGGGAUGGAAUUCCGCGUGUAGCAGUGAAAUGCGUAGAUAUGCGGAGGAACACCGAUGGCGAAGGCAAUCCCCUGGGCCUGCACUGACGCUCAUGCACGAAAGCGUGGGGAGCAAACAGG